GGGGAAUUGUUCGCAAUGGGCGCAAGCCUGACGACGCAACGCCGCGUGGAGGAUGAAGAUCUUCGGGUCGUAAACUCCUGUCGAGCGGGAAGAACACCUUUCGGGCGAAUAUCCCGGAAGGCUGACGGUACCGCUAAAGGAAGCCCCGGCUAACUCCGUGCCAGCAGCCGCGGUAAUACGGGGGGGGCAAGCGUUGUUCGGAAUUACUGGGCGUAAAGGGCGCGUAGGCGGCUUAUCAAGUCAGGCGUGAAAUUCCCGGGCUCAACCUGGGGGCUGCGCUUGAUACUGAUGAGCUUGAAUGCGGGAGAGGAUAGUGGAAUUCCCAGUGUAGAGGUGAAAUUCGUAGAUAUUGGGAAGAACACCGGUGGCGAAGGCGGCUAUCUGGCCCGUAAUUGACGCUGAGGCGCGAAAGCGUGGGGAGCAAA
rnacentral:rRNA from 1 species